UGUGCGCCGAAACCUGCAACCCUGGACGGCGUCCCUUCUUUGUGAACAUCCUUCCUCGCUGGCCUCAAGUCCUUCGCCCUGUUGCGGUUGCACAUCCUACCGUCACUGCAGCCCAGCCUCCGCGCGCAACGCCUCCGACCUGAACUGGAGCCCAUUGAGCCGUCACCGCCGAACCGAGCAGCAAUGCCUAUUCUCCUUGCUCGGACACCAUGGUCUCCAACAUUCCUGUCGCACUGGUCACAGCGGAGGAUCCGAGCCUGGAAAUUUUGCCGCCUGAUUGUGGACCAUUCACCGGGACCAUCACGAACAUCAUAACCAGAACUAUGCUAACCAUCCACGGCUUGGACCACCAGAUUUUCACCCCCAGACGCCAAAUUGCCCUGAAGAGACUCUAACAAGGGGAUAUCUGCUAUCUGGAUAUAAAGAAACGGAAGCUAGAGAAAUCUCACUAUCCCAGGUUCAAAGUUUUAACAAGACAGUUGUCCUUAAUUGCAAGGAGGUGAAUCCAUUUCCUCUAGUGUUCAUUAGAUAUUCAUUUUCACUCUAUUUAUUUUGGUUUCUCUGAAUUUACAGCACAAUGUCCAUUUUCUAUUUUUUGUAUUCAUUCUUUCAUUUGAAGUCUUUUUAGAUUCAGGUUAACUCUUGUAUCUUUC